rnacentral:misc_RNA from 1 species
GAUGAAGAACGCAGCGAAAUGCGAUAAGUAAUGUGAAUUGCAGAAUUCAGUGAAUCAUCGAAUCUUUGAACGCACAUUGCGCCCCCUGGUAUUCCGGGGGGCAUGCCUGUCCGAGCGUCAUUACAACCCUCAAGCUCAGCUUGGUGUUGGGCCCCGCCGCCCCGGCGGGCGCUAAAGUCAGUGGCGGUGCCGUCCGGCUCCGAGCGUAGUAAUUCUUCUCGCUCUGGAGGUCCGGUCGUGUGCUCGCCAGCAACCCCCAAUUUUUUUCAGGUUGACCUCGGAUCAGGUAGGGAUACCCGCUGAACUUAAGCAUAUCAAUAAGCGGAGGA